rnacentral:rRNA from 1 species
AUUGAACGCUGGCGGCAUGCUUUACACAUGCAAGUCGAACGGGGUUGGGAGCUUGCUUCCAAUCUAGUGGCGAACGGGUGAGUAAUACAUCGGAACGUACCGUGUAGUGGGGGAUAACGUAGCGAAAGUUACGCUAAUACCGCAUACGAUCCACGGAUGAAAGCAGGGGACCUUCGGGCCUUGUGCUAUACGAGCGGCCGAUGUCUGAUUAGCUAGUUGGUGAGGUAAAGGCUCACCAAGGCAACGAUCAGUAGCGGGUCUGAGAGGAUGAUCCGCCACACUGGGACUGAGACACGGCCCAGACUCCUACGGGAGGCAGCAGUGGGGAAUUUUGGACAAUGGGCGCAAGCCUGAUCCAGCCAUGCCGCGUGUCUGAAGAAGGCCUUCGGGUUGUAAGGACGUUUGUCAGGGAGCAAAUCCUGGUGGCUAAUAUCCACCGGGGAUGAGAGUACCUGAAGAAUAAGACACCGGCUAACUACGUGCCAGCAGCCGCGGUAAU